AUGGCCAAAAAUAAAAGAAAGCUUGCAACACUGCAUUCUUUUUUUGAGAAGAAAAGAAGAACUGAUGAUGUUCCAGAACAGAUUAAUUUGGUUGAUGCCCCUCCCUUGGUAGAUGAAGAAGAGCAAGUAGAUGAACAAGAACAAGUAGAAGAAACACCACAUUUCAGUGAGUUAUAUGUGGAUUUCAUUAAUCCUCGUGCGAAGGAUGGGACUACAGUUGAGCACCAUUAUCGCUGUGACAUUUUCAUGGUUGCUGUUGAUCAGCAAGCACAAGAGCUGAAUUGUAGAUUCAACAAACAAGCAACAGAGCUUCUCAUCCUGUGUACUUCCUUGGACCCAAAAGAUUCAUUCCGUUCAUUUAACAUAUAUAAUAUAUGUUCUCUGGCUUCAAAGUUCUAUCCUGCUGAUUUUAAAGAACAAGAAAUGAAUAAUCUAAUAUGUCAGUUACGACAUUACGAGAAUAUUGUACCCACAAGCCCAAAGUUUCAGAAUUUGACAACUAUAUCAGAACUUUGUCAACGACUUGCAUCUAGUGGAAAAUCAGAUGAAUAUUACUUGAUUGACAGACGCAUUCGGCUUGUUCUUACUUUACCGGUUUCAACGGCAACGACAGAACAUGCAUUUUCUGCCAUGAAACUUGUGAAGACAAGGCUUCGGAAUAAAAUGGAAGAUGGAUUUCUAAGGGACUGCUUGUUAAUUUAUAUUGAAAAGGAGAUUGCUGUUGGAAUAUCAACAGAUGCAAUUAUAGAUGAGUUCGAUGAACCAUCACGUUGA
rnacentral:rRNA from 1 species